rnacentral:rRNA from 1 species
AGGAUAAACGCUGGCGGCGUGCCUAACACAUGCAAGUCGAACGCGCUUUCGGGCUUCGGUGCGAGAGCGAGUGGCGGACGGGUGAGUAACACAUGGGUACCUACCUUGGAGUGAGGGAUACCGGCGAGAAAUCGCCGACAAUACCGCAUAGGCUUCUUCACAAGGGAAGCAAAGUGACGCGAGUCACGCUGUGAGAUGGGCCUGUGGCCGAUUAGCUAGUUGGGGGGGUAACGGCUUCCCAAGGCGACGAUCGGUAGCUGGUCUGAGAGGACGAUCAGCCACCACUGGGAUUGAGAACGGCCCAGACUCCUACGGGGGCAGCAGUGAGGAAUUUUCCGCAAUGGAGGCAACUCUGACGGAGCAACGCCGCGUGCAGGAGGAAGGUUUUCGGAUCGUAAACUGCUUUUCGUCGGGGACGAGCAAGGACGGUACCCGAGGAAGAAGCCCCGGCUAACUACGUGCCAGCAGCCGC